ACCCCCUAUCUCUCUCCCUUUCUCUCUCUCUUUCUCUCUCUUAUUUACUGUUACUCCCUUCAUCACACCUUAAAUAGAACCCAACUGCCCCUUCUUCAUAUCUCCAAUAUUUGUAUUAUAACUCUUUUCUCUCUCCCUCCGACCUUUCUCUCUCUUUCUCUCUCUCCCUCUGCCUGUGUUUUCAAUGGUGGAUGAAUACAAGGACGCUGUUUCUUUCAUAUGGGUUUGACAAAGGGUUUCUCACAGAGUUUAUUGGCAUUCUGUCCACCUCCCAUCUCUUGAAAAUCUCUCUUUUCUCUCUGUGGAGGUGGGCAUACUGCCAACCAAGCUCUGUUGGACUCUCUUUGUAAAACCCUCGUGAUACCCCCCAACACCAUGUCCAAUCUCUCUCGCUUUUCCACUCUAGAGCAUCAAGGGGUUUCAGCAACUCCUCCUCUUUGCCUCUUUCAAGCCAAGCCAUGAAGGGUUCACGAUCAGGGCAAACCCAGAUGCCAUCAAGCCUUUUUCUACAUCUCACAGCCACAAAAGAGGCGGAAAUUAAUGAAAGAAGAGACUGUUCUUCCUCUGAAACCGGAGGCUCCAGUUUCGCUUUGGAAAAACCUCCCUUGUAUUGAUUGUAUUUUUGUGUAAUAUUUGGUCUGAUCAUCAGUUUCUCUGAAGAGUUUUUAAUGUUCAUGGCUUCAUCUUCUUCAUG